rnacentral:rRNA from 1 species
GACGUAGGGCGCGAGCGUUGUCCGGAUUUAUUGGGCGUAAAGAGCUCGUAGGCGGCUUGUCGCGUCGUCCGUGAAAACCCACAGCUCAACUGUGGGCUUGCGGUCGAUACGGGCAGGCUAGAGUUCGGUAGGGGAGACUGGAAUUCCUGGUGUAGCGGUGGAACGCGCAGAUAUCAGGAGGAACACCGGUGGCGAAGGCGGGUCUCUGGGCAGUAACUGACGCUGAGGAGCGAAAGCGUGGGGAGCGAACAGG